rnacentral:rRNA from 1 species
GUCCACGCCCUAAACGAUGGCAACUGGGUGUUGGGGAAGCGAUUCCUUGGUACCGUAGCUAACGCGUGAAGUUGCCCGCCUGGGGAGUACGGCCGCAAGGUUAAAACUCAAAGGAAUUGACGGGGACCCGCACAAGCGGUGGAUGAUGUGGAUUAAUUCGAUGCAACGCGAACAACCUUACCUACCCUUGACAUGUCUGGAAGGCUGCUGAAAGGUGGCUGUGCCCGAAAGGGAACCGGAACACAGGUGCUGCAUGGCUGUCGU